UGCACCGGCCCGCAUCCACCCUUAAAAUAAGCAUCAUGAAUGAAGAAGAAAAGGACGGUUUUGUCAGGCCAAAGAACCAGCCGAGAAUUUUUAUUCACGAAGCCUAUUCUUUGUGGCUUCGCCGCUGCUUCGUCCGGCCACCUCUAGCUACCUCUAGCUACGAAAUUGGUAUCAUUGUCUUCGUAUAGAAAUCAUCUUUCCAAACACAUAAAGCCUUGUUAACAACCUGUUUUCACCAUACACGACGAAUCGUAGGAGGAAAGGUUCGACCAUUUCCGGCGUAUUUUUCAAAUUCCGGCCAAGUCCGGAAAUAUUGUAGGAGGAGACCGACUGGGCUUUGUUCGCCUUUGAGUUCUCUACAAACUCACCAAUUUUCACAUCUCGAUUCAAUCCGAGGAAAGACGAUUUUCGAUUUGAAUUUUCGGGCUGCCGAAGGUUUCGUGGGCGAUCUUGGCUAAUCCAACCGUUAACUCACUUUGGGCGAUCUUGACUAUAUAAGGUUGGAGGUUCGGCAUACUUGGAGUCGAGGCAGUGUUCCACCGCUUUCAUUUUGAUUGUACUAUGCCUCAUAGGUGUUGACCUUGUAAGGACACUCCAUCUGUAGUUGAGGUUACAGGUGACUACUUCUCGGUUGCUGUACCCAAGAAGCAGGUUCUAGGGAGUUUAGUAGUGGCUCUUCCAGGUACUAGUUCUGAUUAUAGUAUGGAGCAAGUCAAACAACCCGGAGCUAAGACCUAUGCCAUCGAUCCGGCUAUGGCUGAAAGUUUGAUCACCCGACUUGAGACUGAGUUUUUGCAUUUGAGGCAGGGUGACAUGACGGUGUUGGAAUAUGGGCGACGUUUCAAUAGCUUGUAUCGUUUUACGCCUGCCUUGAUGGCUAAUGAGAGGGAUAAAAUCCACAAAUUCCUACAAGGACUACGCGAUCAACUCCGUGUUAUGUUAGCGGCUACCUUAUUUACCGACUUCAGUCAAGUAUUUUUGGCCGCCAUGAAGUGCGAGGACAGACUUUUGAAAUGUGUACAACCAUUAGAGGCGGGUUCCCCUAGCCCGAGUCCAUCUGAGAGGGCUACUGCUAUUUUGAGGUCCGAGGCUUUGACCGGUAGUAGACCUGACAGUUUUGGGUCCGACUCACGACAGAAUUACAGAAGACGUGAACGGAGGCGGGGCAAGCACAAGCCACGAACCAAACAGUCCAGGAGUAGUGUUAGCGGUUAUAGUAGAGGUUCUACAAGACUUCCCAUUCAGAGAGACCGUCCACAAUGUCAGACGUGUGGCAAACACCAUGAUGGACAGUGCCAAGUAGGGAGUGUGGUAUGUUUUCAUUGUGGCCAACAUGGUCACUACUUGAGGAAGUGCCCUCAACUGGCUCAGGGAGCUACUUCAGUGCCCAUACUUCCCAUUCAGAGAGACCGUCCACAAUGUCAGACGUGUGGCAAACACCAUGAUGGACAGUGCCAAGUAGGGAGUGUGGUAUGUUUUCAUUGUGGCCAACAUGGUCACUACUUGAGGAAGUGCCCUCAACUGGCUCAGGGAGCUACUUCAGUGCCCAUCUGAGCAUCAGUUAGGCAUCCAGUAGUGCAUCCAGCAGUGAGACUCAUACUAGUACAGCAUGCUGUGGUAGCAGAGCAAGGCAGAGGGUACUGAGGAUGCCCUACGACUGACACCAAACUCCAUGCCAUGAUCCAAUAGGACCAUCACGCUUCAUAAAGAUUAAUUGGAGGAAUUUGAGCUUUCAAAUUGCUGAGCUUCUCUGCUUCGCAUCUCUAACAGAAGCUUCAGUUUCAAACUUUCGUUUGGUAAGAGACUUAUACAAUUAGUUAAAUUUCUAUCCAUUUUUGUUAGCUCCAUUAGAACUGAAAUAGAUCAUGUUGACACCAUAUGCUCGAUAAAAUUCCCCAAAGACAACAACAAAGCCAAACCAGUGGACUUCUCUAUGAUUUUCCAAAAACGUAUACUUGUUUUAACCUGAGUUUUUGAUACAUUAAAAUAGACUCUUCAAUGAUCAUUUUGAAUAUGGUUUCAUGAAAAACGAAGUUAGAAUGACAUAUUUAAACUUUCUUUUGCUAUUUUGAAUUUCUGCAGAAUUUAGCAUUUCACUUUGAAUUCUUGAUUGACCAUUCAUUUGAACUGCGAAUAACUUGAAAUUUUGCGAAUAGUAGCUUUACAUGUCUACUUUAAAUAUGGAGUGUGCUUGAAAUUACUGAAAGGAUGACUGAUGGUGAAUUUUUCUUUCAUGUUAACAGUUUUCUGAAAAUUUCUCAAACUUGCAGCAACUUUGUUAUAGAACAAUUGAUUUGAAGAACUUUUACCCUUAUGUUAACCCUUAAUCUUGAGUAUGUUAAAUUAGAUAUGUCAAGGAUGAUUUGAAACUUAACUUUCAGUCCAAGAGGCUUACAACAGGUUUCACCUUUGUUGAAAAGUAACAGCAAACCAUCCUACUCACAAUCUUUGUUUUCUGGUCAUUGUUAUCAGUGUUUUCCUUUUGGUAUAAUUCCAUGUGGUGAAGCUUAAGCUAUUGUUCAGUCAGGAAGUGUGUGUAAUAGUUUCAAGAGAGAGAGUAUUAGAACUGAUGAUGGUUUACGUUUUUCAUAAUAAGAUCAAGGACUCUAGUUGCCUGAAGAUUGGUUUAGUGGUGCUUGCUGGGAUUUGUAUACCAUUGUUUCCAGGUAGUAUGCACGAAACUGAAAAGGAGCAAAUCGGCAGUGGUGGCAUUCGACAUUUGAAGCUUGUCAACCUCUGUCCUUUAAGGUGUAUAUUUUUGCUUCUGAAAUGUUGAUGCUUCCUUGACUCAUUGAGCCUCUGUUGUCCUUAAUCUGCUAUUUGGGAAAAUGGGCAGUAGCUUGCUAUGGUCAUGAAAUAUGUACUAGGAGGCUCAUUUUGGUCUUGUAUAAAUGUCCAGAACAUCCAUCUAUAAUGAAUCACUCUCAGUAUUCUGUUUUGGUCAUGUAUAUAUUGAAACCAAUGUUCCUUCAA